UAUCACUAAGCGGAGGAAAAGAAACUAACCAGGAUUCCCCUAGUAACGGCGAGUGAACGGGGAUUAGCCCAGCACCGAAGCCUGCGUCCGUUUGGAUGUUAGGCACUGUGGUGUUUAGGUGGUAACAUGCUGACUCGUCUACUACCCCAAGUCCAGUAAUGAAUAUGGCACUUAUAUUGGCCCAGAGAGGGUGAAAGGCCCGUGGGGGUAGUGGUGGUGUGUCGGCUUGUUCCACCUUGGAGUCGGGUUGUUUGUGAAUGCAGCCCAAAGUGGGUGGUAGACUCCAUCUAAGGCUAAAUACUGACACGAGUCCGAUAGCGAACAAGUACCGUGAGGGAAAGUUGAAAAGUACUCUGAAGAGAGAGUAAACAGUGCGUGAAACCGCUGAGAGGUAAACGGGUGUAGUCAAGCUGCAAGCUUUGUGGAUUCAGCUGGUCAGUGUGACGUGUGUGCGUGAGCACAUUGCUGGUCUGUUCCGGUCUACCUAAACUGGUGGGCCUGACUCCCUGUGGGUCGGGUGCUAGGGUGUCAAAUGGAUACUAAGCGCCGUGCAGGAUCCAGCUGCUGAUCAGUGCACUUCCUCAGAGUGUGAGCCACGACCGCUGUAGCUGCCGGUCUGCCGGGAUCAACCGUCUUGGACGGGCUAUACGGCUAGUCCAGGUCGGGAUGGCAGGUAGCCUGGUGUGUACGCUUGCGUGCAUGCCGGUUGUUAUAGCCAAUCCUUGUGUGGCCUAUUAACUGUGCAGUGCAGUGGAGAUAGCGACGUGUUGGUAACGGUUUUCGUGCUAAAGUCUGCCGGCAUGGUCAACGUGUGGCUGCCUGUUGCUGAUGCAAAUUCGGCCUGGCGGUGGCUUGUCCAUGGUGUAGCGGGCGGCGGCGUGAGCUGACCAUCGGCCUUGUGCCGGAUCGUCGUCUAUAGUCUGUGGCGUAGUGGUAGACGAUCCACCCGACCCGUCUUGAAACACGGACCAAGGAGUUUAACAUGUGCGCGAGUCAAUGGGCGUGCUAAACACUGUUCACGAAACCCAGAGGCGCAGUGAAAGUAAAGGUUUGUUCAUGUUUGUUGAUGCACUACGGCAUCAUCGGAUGUGGCAGGCUGAGGUGAGAUCCCGCGCGGCACCUGAGCAGACCUGGUCACGCAGUUAUGGACCGGCGGGCGCAUCACCGGCCCGUCCCAUGGUGUAUAUCAUCGGGGCGGAGCAAGAGCGUACAUGUUGAGACCCGAAAGAUGGUGAACUAUGCUUGCGCAGGUUGAAGCCGGAGGAAACUCUGGUGGAGGACCGUAGCGAUUCUGACGUGCAAAUCGAUCGUAUGACGUGAGUAUAGGGGCGAAAGACUAAUCGAACCAUCUAGUAGCUGGUUCCCU
rnacentral:rRNA from 1 species